rnacentral:tRNA from 1 species
GACGAGGUGGCCGAGUGGUUAAGGCGAUGGACCAUUGUGCUCUGCACGCGUGGGUUUGAAUCCCAUCUUCUACU